GUUUGCGACGCGGAGGGACAUUACUGAGUUACCGCUCUAUAACCCUUUGUGAACAUACCUACAACUGUUGCUUCGGCGGGUAGGCCGUCCCCUGAAAAGGACGCCUCCCGGCCCGGACCGGACCCCCCGCGGGACCGGACCCGGCGCCCGCCGGAGGAUAACCAAACUCUAUUGUAACGACGUUUCUUCUGAGUGGCAUAAGCAAAAUAAUCAAAACUUUUAACAACGGAUCUCUUGGUUCUGGCAUCGAUGAAGAACGCAGCGAAAUGCGAUAAGUAAUGUGAAUUGCAGAAUUCAGUGAAUCAUCGAAUCUUUGAACGCACAUUGCGCCCGCCAGCAUUCUGGCGGGCAUGCCUGUUCGAGCGUCAUUUCAACCCUCAAGCUCUGCUUGGUGUUGGGGCUCUACGGUCGACGUAGGCCCUCAAAGGUAGUGGCGGACCCUCCCGGAGCCUCCUUUGCGUAGUAACAUUUCGUCUCGCACUGGGAUCCGGAGGGACUCUUGCCGUAAAACCCCCCAAUUUUCCAAAGGUUGACCUCGGAUCAGGUAGGAAUACCCGCUGAACUUAAGCAUAUCUAA
rnacentral:rRNA from 1 species